AUCACGAGGGGUUACACUGUCUCCCUAUUCCAUUCAGUGAAACUGAUCUUCCCGUGAAGAAGCGGGAAUGUAAAUAUAAGACGAGAAGACCCCAUGGAGCUUUAAACUCAGUGUCAUCUGCCACUUCAAUACCCUCUUAAUUACGCAGACCAUGAUAACUAGUUUUCGGUUGGGGUGACCGCGGAGUAAAACAAAACCUCCACAACGAAAGGAACUAACAACCUAAUCCAAGAGCAACAUCUCUAAGAAUCAACAAAUUGACUUAAUUGAUCCAAUUACUUGAUCAACGAACCAAGUUACCCUGGGGAUAACAGCGUAAUCCAUUUCAAGAGCUCAUAUCGACAAAUGGGUUUACGACCUCGAUGUUGGAUCAGGGUAUCCCAGUGGCGCA
rnacentral:rRNA from 1 species